AUGUUCAUUUCAGCAGCAUCUAUACUAAAAUUGGAACCAUACAGAGAAGAUUAUCAUGGCCCCAUGCAAGGAUGACAGGCAAAUUUGUGAAGCAUUGCAUAUUUUU